UACAGAGGGUGCGAGCGUUAAUCGGAAUUACUGGGCGUAAAGCGUGCGUAGACGGCUAUCUAAGUCGGGUGUGAAAGCCCUGGGCUUAACCUAGGAAUUGCAUUUGAAACUGCGCCGCUAGAGGCCGGAAGAGGGUAGUGGAAUUCCCAGUGUAGAGGUGAAAUUCGUAGAUAUUGGGAAGAACACCGGUGGCGAAGGCGGCUACCUGGUCCGGUUCUGACGCUGAGGUGCGAAAGCGUGGGGAGCGAACAGG
rnacentral:rRNA from 1 species